AUCACGGAGAGUUUGAUCCUGGCUCAGAACGAACGCUGGCGGCGCGUCUUAAGCAUGCAAGUCGAGCGGGAUCCGGGGGCUUGCUCCCGGUGAGAGCGGCGGACUGGCGAGGAACGCGUGGGCGACGCGCCCUCCGGAGGGGGACAGCCCGUGGAAACACGGGGUAAUACCCCAUGGCAUGGCUGGCUUGGAGGCCAGCCAUCAAAGGAGCUUCGGCUCCGCCGGGGGAGCGGCCCGCGACCCAUCAGCUAGUUGGCGGGGCAAGGGCCCACCAAGGCUACGACGGGUAUCCGGCCUGAGAGGGCGAACGGACGCAUUGGGACUGAGAUACGGCCCAGACUC
rnacentral:rRNA from 1 species